CGCACAGUGUGGUGGAGGAUGGGCAGGCAAGCAGGUGGGCUAGGGCACGUGGGGCCUUGGAGCCAUGGCAAGGGCUUCUGUGCGUGGCAGAGCGGGGCUCAGAGCUGAACAGGACCUGGCCCUGGUCGUGGGCUCAGAGCCUAACGGGGAAGCAGCUUAAGCAGAGAGUGGAGGUCGGGAGACCUUCGGGGAGUGUGAGGUGGGUCCCACAUGGGAAGACUCCUGAACGCGAGUCCUGAGCGCAGAGCACGGCUUUGACUGGCUAGCGGGAUGGGGUCAGAGUGCGUCAGUGUCGCAAACGAGUAGCUGCCUGUGUGAGCGUGUGGAGGCAGGAGAUUGGGGACUUGGCUGGGACAAAGAGAGGAGCCAGUGUGACGGUCGUUGAGUGGAGCCGAGGGAAGGUGCCGGGGAGGAGGUCUGUCCUGAUGGCAGCGUGAGGUGCAGGUGGGAGCAGAGAAGCUGGCGUCCCCUCGAGGGACAGGGCUGGGAGCUGGGAGCAGGGCUGAGGCGGUUGGCACUGACCCUUCUUAUUUGGACCCAGCUCCGAGGAGAGGCCUGUGGAUGAGUCCUCCCCCUCACCUCUCUCUUCUCUUCUCCCCCUUUGCACUUGAGACUGGCGCUGACAAACAGCAGCUCACGGCGCGCUGGAAGACGCCAGGGUUUCAGACGCCCAAAGGUGCUGGGCCAGCACUGGCAGGAAUAGCACAAGGGCAGGAUCCGUGGGCUCCAGACACUGCCUCCGACGAGCAUCAUCAGAGCAGGAUCCUGCCUCGUGGCCUGGGCUCUCCAUGGCUCGAUGGAAAAUUAAGUCAGAGGCAAAACAGAAGAAAACAAAGCCGGGCAAGGUGGUGUCCAGGUCUGUGCAGCCAGAUGGGCUUGGAUUCAGGUCCUAGUCUCACCUUGGCCUCUUGGAGCCUCAGUUCCCCAUCUGUAAACAGGAUGUGCUCGCUGUGCCAACAGCAGAGGGUGCCUGGGAGGCCUGGCUUGGAGAUGAAGUGUUUACAGCAGACUGCUCAGUACCUGGGCUGGAGUCCUAGCAGCAGGCUGGCUCCCGGGAGGUGCUGGUGGCCAGCGGGCUCUGUGCUGAGAAGUGCUGGGAGGCUCGGAGGAAAGCGUGCUGUCGUGGAUCUGUGACGCGGCCUCUGGCACGGCGGCGGAGAGGGAAGAGGCAGGAUUCGCCCCCUCUGGAGUGGCCUCUGGGCUCUCUGAGCUCUGACAGAGCUGCUUCCUCUUGCCUUCCCCUUGAGGCCAGCAUGCGUCAGUCUGUGUCUGCGAUGCCAGUGUCCGGGAGUGGAUGGGGAGGCUCUCUGGCUCCCCCUCACUGCACACAUAUAGGGGCAGGGACUGGUGCCUGUGGAGGGGGCCUGGGGCCUGGCAGCACCUUAUUUCAGCCUGCCUCCCUGCUCUGCCCAGGUGGGGUACCUGUAGAAAGAGGACGCUGGCCUGUACCUGCCUGGACACCUUGCCCGGCCUGUGGCAGGUGAUCAGUGGUGCUGGGUGGCAGGAAGCCAAGGCAAUUGCUGGGCUCCUGGUGAGUUUCAGGCCAGGCCGUUUUCAGAGAACCUCUGUCUUUGCUGGUUUUGUCAUGGGUGGGGCCCCUCUCUGUGGGGCUGCGGUAGGUACAGCAUCCACGAGGAGGGGACAGGCACAAGCUCCGGGUGUCACAUCAUCUCUGACUUUGGAGCCAUAGAGCGUCUGGUCUGGGAGCCCCUGGAGGUCAUCUUGUCUUCCUUGCUGGGGUGUCCCUGGGCAGACACACAGACAGGGUCCAAAAGGGAUGGGGUCCAUCACGCUGGGGCUCCUGCCCUGGCCUGAGCAUGCCUGGCCAUCCAGGCCCCUGCCCCUUGGUGCUGCAGGGCCUGGGAGAGGCUCCUGGGCACUGUGGUGACCUUCACGCCCGACUUGCCCCUCGAGUUCCUCCUGCCGGUAGCCUGGCAGCUGCCAGUGCCGCACGGUUUGUGAAAUGUCAGUGCUUUAAUAUCAAUUCUGGAGGUUUUAUUGCCUUCCCCCCAUUUUCCGAUGGGAUUUUGAUCCAAUCAAGACCGAUCCACAGCGACGGCAGAUUUGUGUUCCCGUCCGAAGUUGACAAAGGUCACCCUGCCUGGGGAGCGGGGCCGCUGUGGCUGCGCAGCGCGUGACUGCUCUCCCGCCCUGGCUCCGGGUCGGCUGCGCUUUCCCCCAGGAGAGCGGUGUCCGUGGGUGCGGCCGGCGCUGCUCCUCCUGGGCCUGUCACUGGGCCAAGGGCCCUAGGGCUUUAGGCUCGGGCAGUCGCCAGCCACAGAAUACCGUGGUUUUGUCUGCAAAAUGUCUUUGAUGCUUCAGACUCAAAUUAAUUUUUCAUAGUAAUGUUUCAAAAUGUCAUUUUUCCCUUUAAAAAAAAAGCCGUUGAAUGAGAUUCUCUGUUUGGGAGGAGGCCAGAGGUCAGGAGAGUCACAUUGGGCCACGCCAGCCUGUGCCCUCUCCUCCUCUCUCUGGCUGAGCUCCCUGCCUUCCCCAGAGGGUGGAACACCCUCUAGGAGGAACUCGAAAGGGGCAGGAACACCUGCUUGUCCAGGUGGGGGCUGUCAAGGGUGGAGAGUGGGUGCAAGAAUUUUGGUCAAGUUUUGAUCUUGCCCCAUGGCACUUUACAGACAUGAUAUUCCGAGACCCAACCCAGCUUGGCAAGCCUUUAGAGAGUGCCUGCGGUGUGUGUGGCGCCGAGAGGGCUCAGCAGGGUGGAGGGGAGAGGCAAACCUAGACAGAGAGG
rnacentral:lncRNA from 1 species